GGUGAGAUGGCCGAGCGGUCUAAGGCGCCAGACUAAGGAGGGAGGUGGGAUUCGAACCCACACCCUGGCUAUCUGGUCCGAAAGGGCGUGGGUUCGAAUCCCACUCUCAUCA
rnacentral:tRNA from 1 species